rnacentral:rRNA from 1 species
UGGGGAAUAUUGCACAAUGGGCGCAAGCCUGAUGCAGCCAUGCCGCGUGUGUGAAGAAGGCCUUCGGGUUGUAAAGCACUUUCAGCGGGGAGGAAGGCGGUGAGGUUAAUAACCUCAUCGAUUGACGUUACCCGCAGAAGAAGCACCGGCUAACUCCGUGCCAGCAGCCGCGGUAAUACGGAGGGUGCAAGCGUUAAUCGGAAUUACUGGGCGUAACGCGCACGCAGGCGGUCUGUCAAGUCGGAUGUGAAAUCCCCGGGCUCAACCUGGGAACUGCAUUCGGAACUGGCAGGCUAGAGUCUUGUAGAGGGGGGUAGAAUUCCAGGUGUAGCUGUGAAAUGCGUAGAGAUCUGGAGGAAUACCGGUGGCGAAGGCGGCCCCCUGGACAAAGACUGACGCUCAGGUGCGAAAGCGUGGGGAGCAAACAGG